rnacentral:rRNA from 1 species
GAUGAACGCUGGCGGCGUGCCUAACACAUGCAAGUCGAGCGAACGGACGAGAAGCUCGCCUUUCUGAUGUUAGCGGCGGACGGGUGAGUAACACGUGGAUAACCUACCUAUAAGACUGGGAUAACUUCGGGAAACCGGAGCUAAUACCGGAUAAUAUUCUGAACCGCAUGGUUCAAAAGUGAAAGACGGUCUUGAUGUCACUAAUAGAUGGAUCCGCGCUGGAUUAGCUAGUUGGUAAGGUAACGGCUUACCAAGGCAACGAUGCAUAGCCGACCUGAGAGGGUGAUCGGCCACACUGGAACUGGGACACGGUCCAGACUCCUACGGGAGGCAGCAGUAGGGAAUCUUCCGCAAUGGGCGAAAGCCUGACGGAGCAACGCCGCGUGAGUGAUGAAGGUCUUCGGAUCGUAAAACUCUGUUAGUAGGGAAGAACAUAUGUGUAAGUAUCUGUGCACAUCUUGACGGUACCUAAUCAGAAAGCCACGGCUAACUACGUG